rnacentral:rRNA from 1 species
CCCCUAGAUGUUCUGGGCCGCACGCGGGCUACACUGAACAGUUCAACAAGUCUUAACCUUGGCCGAUAGGUCUGGGUAAUCUUUGAACGCUGUUCGUGAUUGGGAUAGACCUUUGCAAUUAUGGGUCUUCAACGAGGAAUUCCUAGUAAACGCAAGUCAUCAGCUUGCAUUGAUUACGUCCCUGCCCUUUGUACACACCGCCCGUCGCACCUACCGAUUGAAUGGUCCGGUGAAAUCUCGGGACGGCGGCUUGGUCGCUUGCGUCCGACUGCUGAAACUUGAUUAAACCAUAUCAUUUAGAGGAAGGUGAAGUCGUAACA